GGCCAGGGGCGUGAUAGCAGAGAGCGACCGCACGCCUCGUGGGGCUGCGAGUGUUCCGGGGCGCUGGCCCUUUAAGGGCUGGCGGACGCGGCGGCCCCGCGCUCCCAACUCCAGAAAGCGAGCUGCGCCGCGGAGCAGUAAACAGCCAGGUGGACGGCCCGCCCGCUGACGUCAGGGGAAACAGACACAGAUUUAAAGGGCCAGGUCCCGGAUUUGGCCUUAAAGGGGCCGCAGCCGUCUAGCUGGAGGGGGAAAAUUGGGGACGCUUUCUCCAACUCCUACUCCGCUAUUGUCCCCUCUUUCGUUGUUUUGCUUGUUCCCGGAAGCCCAGAUUGGAAUAAGCGGAUGUUUCUAUGAAGGGUCUCCAAGUGUUUGGUUCUUGUUGACAAAUUCGUCUCCUUGCGCAAACAGGGCUACCACCGAACCGGUUAUGGACCGUGGAUGGUGGAUCUUAACGGUAAUAACGGCGGGUUCCGCUAACAUCCACCAUGCCUGGUCCAUUUUUUUUGUUUUUGUUUUUCCUUUUGAGCUCUUAAGAAACGAACUCAAAGAAGGACACACGACAGCCUCCUGAUGAAGAGAUGGGGGCAGAAGGAACCCGCGUGCGCUCUCACAUUCCUCUGCUGCAGCCACGUAACUUCAGACGUCUUCCAAGCUUGCGGAGCUGUUUAUCCUCUUCUCUGCAGAGGACUCCUUGGACCUACUCACCCACCCCACUCUCCUACACCCUAAAGAUUAAAUGAUGAGAGUCAGUUUGCUACAUUCAGUCCCACACAAAAGCAGCAGGAAGAUCUAAGUAAACAAUGUGCUCAUGAUAAGUAAGUUGCAGACAUCGAUUCUUCAUCCCUAAAUAUUUAAGCACGCAUCUGCUAAGAGUACGGCCAUUUUAUAAAACCACAAAACGAUUACUGUACCUAAACAAUCCUAUUAACAACUAAUAUUCAGUCCAGAUUCAAUUUUUUCCAAUUGUCCCAAGAGAUGAACAAAGAACUACAGCUAUUUUUUAACUAAGAGCCAAUCAAGAUUCAUGUAUUUUAUUGGGACCUUUUUCAUAUGGGCUUUGAAAAUGUCUAUUAACCUCCAGAUGUUGAGACAACGGCAAACAAAGACUCAACCUUUCUCAGACUAACCCAAGAGCAUAAGCAGUGGAGACCUAAGUCCUGUUAUACCUUGCUCUGCUCAAAAGGUACAAGGCAGUUCUUCUAUCCUUUACAGAUACAAUUUUUAUGGAUUUUACCCGUCAGCACUCGAGGACAGAAAUUUUUGUCCUUGUAACGAAUAUAGAGGAUGCUGCAGGCACCAGGUUUCUGAUCUGGUCCAGGGAAACGUCUGAAUGCAGAUUCCUUUCUCAAACGCUACCCUGAACUAGGCUCCCCCAGGAAUCAGGGCAGAGUUGCUAUUUACAGAUUCUUGCUGAUAAUGCCCAUGCCGGUGACACUGUGGUGAGACCGGGAUACUCACCCACUACAGGGGAACACAGGCCCUGCGUGGCGCAAACUGUUUGCACUCCACCACUAACCCAGAGGUCCUCGUGGUGCGUGGUCAAAGCGCUCAGAUGGUAAUCGAAAGGUCGGAGGUUGGAAGCCGGCAGCCGCUGCGUGAGAGGAGGAUGUGGCAGUCUGCUCCCUUAGAGAUUUACAGCCUUGGGAACCCUACAGGCUCGCUACGAGUUGGAGUCGACUUGACGGCAGUGGGUCACUAACGUAAAGGUUGAUAGUUCAAACCCACCAGGCAGCGUCGCAGAAGAACGGCCUGAUGAUCUGCUUCCACAGAGGUUACAGUCGAGAAAACUGAUGAAGCAGUUCUACUGUCACACAGGGCUGCCAGGAGUCGGAGCAGACUUUGCUGCACGCGACACCUAGGUGUAAGGCAGGCCCUGGGUGGCGCGAAUGGUUUGCACUCAACUACUAACCUAGAGAAGAAAGGCCUGGAGAUCUGCUUCUGUAAAGAUUACAGCCAAGAAAAUCCUAUGGAGCAGUUCUGCUCUAUCACACGUGGGACUGCCAAUGAGUCAGAACUGAUUUGAUGUCAGAGGGGUUUUUUUGUUUGUUUAUAGGAAGGAUGAGUUGCUGGGUGGCACAAACAGUGAAGUGAGUAGCGACUAACCAAAACGUGGUAGUUAAAACCCAUCUAUAAGUGCUUGGAGCCCUACUGGUACAGUGGUUAAGCGGUCAGCUGCUAACCAAAAGAGUGGCAUUUGAAUUCACCAGCUGCUCCUUGGAAACUCUGUGGGGCAGUUCUACUCUGUCCUAUAGGGUUAUUAUGACUUGGAAUUGACUCCACAGCAAUGGGUUUGGUAUUUUGAUAUAGGUGCCUUGGAAGAAAGUCCUGGUGAUCUGCUUCUGAUAAGAUCACACCUAUGAAAGUCUGAAGGAGAGCAGUUCUAUUCUGCAGCACAUACGGCUGCCAUUCAUUGGAAAUACUCGAUGGCAAGUGGUUUAGUAUAGGUGGAAGUAGUGUCCCUGGGUGGUGCAAGCAGUUAGUACGCCUGGCUGCUAAAUGAAUAAUUGGAGGUUCAAGCCCAACCACAGACAAUUCAGAAGAAUUGAUCUACUUUUAAAUAAUCAGCCACUGAGAAUCGUAUGACAAGGUCAACAAGCAAAAAUCAGACGAUCUUCUAUGUAGCAGCAAUGAAAAAUCUGAAAGCGCAAUUAAGGAAAUGAUUCCAUUUAAAAUAGUACCUAAGAGAAUAAAAUGCCUAGGAAUAAAUCUAAACAGGAAUGUGAAAGAUUUACACAACGAAAAUUAUAAAACACUGCUGGAAGAAAUUAAAAAUCAAACCAAACCGUCUUAAACGCUAGCAAGCAGCCAUCUAAGAUGCAUCAUCGAGUCUCAACCCACCUGGAUCAAAGGAGAAUGAAGAACACCAAGGACACAAGGUGAUUACGAGCCCAAGAGACAGAAAGGGCCACAUGAACCAGUGACUACAUCAUCCUGAGACCAGAAGAACCAGAUGGUGCCCUGCCACAACCGAUGACUGCCCUGACAGGGAACACAACAGAGAACCCCUGAGGGAGCAGGAGAGCAGUGGGAUCCAGGCCCCAAAUUCUCAGAAGACCAGACUUAAUGGUCUGACUGAGACUGGAAGGACCCCGGUGGUCAUGGCCCCCAGACCUUCUGUUGGCCCAGGACAGGAACCAUUCCCAAAGCCAACUCUUCAGACAUGGAUUGGACUGGACAAUGGGUUGGAGAGGGAUGCUGGUGAGGAGUGAGCUUCUUGGAUCAGGUGGACACGUGAGACUAUGUUGGCAUCUCCUGCCUGGAGGGGAGAUGAAAGGGUGAAGGGGGUUAGAACCUGGCAAAAAGGACAUGAAAAGAGAGAGUGGAGGGAGACGGCAGGCUGUCUCAUUAGGGGAAGAGUAAUUGGAAGUGUGUAGGAAGGUGCAUAUGUGUUUUUGUGUGAGAGACUGACUUGAUUUAUAAACUUGCACUUAAAGCACAAUAAAAAUUAUUUAAAAAAAAAAAUCAAACCAAACCCUUUGUGGUUGAGCCAAUUCCAACUCACAGUGACCCUACAGAGACCCUGUAGCAGCCCUAUAGAGAUUAAAGAAGGCUUAAAUAAAUGAAAAGAUGUUCCAUGUUCAUGGACUGGAACACUUAAUACUGUUGAGAUGUAAUACUACCCAAAGCUAUGUACAGAUUCAACGCAAUCCUGAUCAAAAUUCCAACAGCUUUCUUUACCAAAAUGGAAAAACCAAUCCUCAAUGUUAUAUGCAAUGGCAAGAGGCCCUGAAUAGCUUAAGCCAUGUUGAAAGAGAAGAACAAAGUAGGAAUCACAUUUCUUAAUUUUAAAACACAUUAUACAUCCACAGUAAUCAAAACAGCCUGGUACUGGUAUAACAACAGACACAUAUCAACGGAAUAGAACUGAGAGUCUAGAAAUAAACCCACACAUCUAUGAUCAACUGAUUUUUGUCAAGGGUGCUAAGUCCUUUCAAUGAGGAAGGAAGAGUCUCUUCAAUAAAUGCUGCUGGAAAAAUUGGAUUUCCACAUGCAGAAAAAUGAAGCAGGAUCCAUGUUUCACAUCAUACACAAAAACUUGUCAAAAUGGAUUAAAGACCUAAAUGUGAAAACUAAAACCAUUAAAUUCUUAGAAGAAAAUGUAGUGGCAACACUGAAAGGCCUAGCUUUUAACAAUGGAUUAUGUAAUAUAAAAACAAAAGCACGAACAGCGAAAGACAAAAGAAGUAAAUGGGACCUAAUAAAAAUCAAAAACUUGUGUUCAUCAAGACUGUACCAAGAAAGUAAAAAGACAAGCUACCAACUGGGAGAAUAUCUUUGAAAACAACAUAACCAAUAAGAGUCUAACACAUAUAAAAAUUCGACAACAAGAGGACAAAUAACUCAAUCGUGAAAUGGGCAAAAACCUUGAACAGACAUUACACCAAAGAGGACAUUCAAAUGGUCACCAAACACAUGAAAAGAUGCUCAACAUAGUUUGCCAGUUAGCUAUCAGAGAAGUAAAUCAAAACCACAAUGAGAUACCAUUUCACUCACUAGGAUGGCUAAGACAAAGAAAACAAAAACAGAAAAUAACAAACAUUGGUGAGGAUGUGAGGAAAUCGGAGCCCUUAUCCAUUGCUGGUGGCAAUGCAAAAUGGUACAUCCAUUGUGGAAAACAGUGUGGCAGUUCCUCAAAAAACUAAAAAUAGAACUACCAUAUGAGCCAGCAAUUCCACUGCCAGCUGUGUACCCAAAAGACUUGAAAGCAGAGACUCAAACAGAUAUUUGUACACCAAUGUUCACUGCAGCACUAUUCACAACAGCUGAAAAGAUGCAAACAACCUAAAAGCCCACCCACAGACGAAUGGAUAAACAAAAUAUGGUAUAUACAUACAAUGGAAUACUACUCAGCCAGUUAAGAGAAAUACAUACUACAAUACGGAUGGAACCUGAAAACAGUACGCUGAGUGAAGAAAGUCAAUCACAAAAGGUCAACCAUUAUAUGACCUCACAUAAGCAGACAAGAACAGGCUAAUAUAUACAGACCAAAGUUUAUUACUGGUUACCAAGGGCAAGAGCGAGCAGGAAAGGGGAGUUAUUGCUUAUGGAAUAUUGAGUUUCAGUUUACGGUGAUGAAAAUCAUAUUAAGGGUAGGGUUGCACAGCCGAUUAAUGUAAUUGCUGUCAAUUAGCUGUACAGCGUAAAACGCUGAAAUGGGAAAAGUUGUAUCAUAGAUACAAUUACAACAACAACCAUGAAAAAAAGAGCUGCGACUGAGGCUGCUUAUGUAUAACCAAAUAUCUCAUGGAAUUUGGUUUCUUGGUUUGGAGGUUUAGGAUCAUGGUUUCAUGGGACAUCCCACUUAAAUGGCCUAAUACUGUGUUUAGUGCUACUGUUCUACCUCCUAGUUCACCGUGUAGUGCCUGGGGUCUUAAAAGUUUGCAAGUGGCCAUCCAAGGUACAAUUGGUCUCUCUAUUCACACGGAGCAACAGAGAAGGAGGAGAAGCAGGAAUAGGAGGAAAUGGAAUGUGUGGCUAACUGCCUCCAUGAACAACUGCCCCCUCUGCCAAGAGACCAGGAGAACUGGAUGGUGCCUGGCUAGCAUUACUGAACAUUUUAAUCCAAGAUUCUAUAGAAGAAUUUUGAUCAAAGGGGGAAAAAUGUAGGACAGAAUUUCUAAUUCUCAUAGAAUCCAGACUUUCUGGAGCUAUGGAGGCUGGAUGAAGCCCCGAACUACUGCCCCAGGAUAAUCUUUCAACCUUAAAGCCAAAAUAUCCCCUGAAGUUUUCUUAAAACUAAACAGUCGUUCAGCUUAACUAGUAAAGAAUGUCUGCCUUGACCAGUUACCACCACCGACUGCUCUGACAGGGAACACAAUGGAGAGUCCCUGAUGGAGCAGGAGAGAAGUCGGGUGCAGAACUCAAAUUCUAGUAAAAAGACCAGACUUAAUGGUCUGAUUGAGGCUGGAGGAGCCCCAGAAGACAUGGCCCCCAGACUCUUUGUUAACCCAGAACUAAAACCAUUCCUGAAGCCAAAUCUUCAGACAAAGAAUAGACCGGACUAUAAGACAUAAAAUGAUACUCACGAAGAGUAUGCUUCUUGGUUUAAGUAGAUACACGAGACUAAAUGGGAAGCUCCUCUCCGGAGGCGGGAUGAGAAGGCACAAAGGGACAGGGGCUGGCUGAAUGGACAUGAGAAAUGUGGGGUGGAAAGGAGGAAGGUGUGGUCACAUUACAGGGAUAGCAACUAUGGUCACAAAACAACAGGUGUAUAAAUUUUUGCAUGAGAAACUAACUUGAGCUGUGAACUUCCACCUAAAGCACAAUUAAAAAGGAAAAAGUCUGCCUUGAUCGUUGUGCUCUUUUAAGGCCUAUAUGGGAUCAAACUGACAAAAACAACUCAAAAGAUCAGAUAGGAAACUUAGGGAGCAGUGGCUUUCUUAAUGGGGGAGGAACAACCCGGAAGAGAAGGGUGAGGAUGUUUGCACAAUUUGUCACUGAAUUGUACAUACAUAAAUUGUUGAAUUUGGUGUUAUGUUCUGUGUGUACAUUCUCAACAACAAAAAUACAUUAUAAAAAAAGAAAACCCUACAGAAUACAGAAUUGACUCAAUGGUAAACGGUAACAGGUGAAAGUAUAAAGUGACAAAGGUAUGUUCGGAAAUGAUCUGCCAGUUUAUCACCACUGUUCCUCUCUUAAUGUGGGAAGAUUAGGGAUACCUUUUUCUUUUUUCUUGCUUCCAUGCUUUGUGUAAAUUAUUUUUUUAAUUACUAUUGUUUCAGUAAGUAUUUUUAAAACAAAGGGGUAAGAUGAACAAGAAUAAAACUUUAGCUAGUGAACAGGUGCUUUUCCAUGUCAUGUCAACUCUCCAGGGUAUACUGUAGUAUCAACUGUUUCUCAGCACGGAUAAAAGAGCUCACGUUUAUCUGAUGUCACAGAGGUUUAAGCGCUGCUAUUCUGAAGAGUCUAAUACUUUACAUUUUCUUUUAAAGUAUAAAAGUAAUACAAUCACAUUGCAGUAAGUAUGGAAAAACAGAAAAGACAAAAACAAAACACCUAUAACCACCUUAACCCAGUAACUAUCAUGAUUUUUGCAUAUUUUCUUCCCCCUGCCACAAACCGCCUCCCCCCCCCCCCGCCAGGACAGAAAAAGCUACGUUCAAAUUCUAAUUUGUCUCCUUACUAGUCCAGUGACCUUAAGAAGGUAUAAAAUCUAAGUCUUGGGAAAUACAUAAUCGGAGCCUUGGUUUUCUCAUCUGUUAGCAACUCUGUUUUGGAGUUGUUGUGGAGAUUAGAGUUCUAUGAAAAGGGUUUAGCGACUGCCUGGCACACAGCAGGUAUGUAAUGGCAGUCAUUAUGUCUGCAUCUAACUGAGGUCCCUGGGUGGCGCUAACAGCUUGUGCUCGACUACUAAUCAAAAGAUUGGCAGCUGGAAUUCACCCAGAAGCACCACAGGAGAAAGGCC